GAACCAGCCUCAGAGCUCUUCUUACACUCAUCACUGCCGUCUCCAUGAGUGUAAAUGAUUGAUGGAUGAGAUUCUCCUGAGCCGUGUC